GAUGAACGCUGGCGGCGUGCCUAAUACAUGCAAGUCGAGCGAAAAGACGCGGAGCUUGCUCCUCUGACGUUAGCGGCGGACGGGUGAGUCACACGUGGAUAACCUACCUCUAAGACUGGGAUAACUUCGGGAAACCGGAGCUCAUACCGGAUAACAUCUUGAACCGCAUGGUUCAAUAGUGAAAGACGGUUUUGCUGUCCCCGAUAGAUGGAUCCGCGCUGCAUUAGCUAGUUGGUAAGGUAACGGCUUACCAAGGCGGCGAUGCGUAGCCGACCUGGGAGGGUGAUCGGCCACUCUGGAGCUGAGACGCGGUCCAGACUCCUACGGGAGGCAGCAGUAGGUAAUCUUGCGCGAUGGGCGAAAGCCUGACGGAUCAGCGCCGCGUGAGUGAUGAGGGGCUUCGUGUCGUAAGACUCUGUUAUGGUGGAAAAACAAAUGUGUAAGGAACUAUGCACGUCUGGACGGUACCUAAUCAGAGAGCCACGGCUAACUACGUG
rnacentral:rRNA from 1 species